rnacentral:rRNA from 1 species
AGCUUGCUCUCGCUGACGACCGGCGCACGGGUGAGUAACGCGUAUGCAACCUACUUUUUACUGGAGAAUAGCUCCGAGAAAUCGGAAUUAAUACUCCAUAAUAUUAUAAAAAGGCAUCUUUUUAUAAUUAAAGCUCCGGCGGUAAUUAAUGGGCAUGCGUGACAUUAGCUAGUUGGUGAGGUAACGGCUCACCAAGGCAACGAUGUCUAGGGGGUCUUAAAGGAUGGUCCCCCACACUGGUACUGAGACACGGACCAGACUCCUACGGGAGGCAGCAGUGAGGAAUAUUGGGCAAUGGGCGAAAGCCUGACCCAGCCAUGCCGCGUGCAGGAUGACUGCCCUAUGGGUUGUAAACUGCUUUUAUACGGGAAGAAAAAGCUCUACGUGUAGAGAACUGACGGUACCGUAAGAAUAAGGAUCGGCUAACUCCGUGCCAGCAGCCGCGGUAAUACGGAGGAUCCAGGCGUUAUCCGGAUUUAUUAGGUUUAAAGGGUGCGUAGGCGGGUUAAUAAGUCAGUGGUGAAAGCCUGCAGCUUAACUGUAGAAUUGCCAUUGAUACUGUUAACCUUGAGUAUAGUUGAGGUGGGCGGAAUGUGUUGUGUAGCGGUGAAAUGCUUAGAUAUGACACAGAACACCGAUUGCGUAGGCAGCUCACUAAACUAUUACUGACGCUGAGGCACGAAAGCGUGGGGAGCGAACAGGAUUAGAUACCCUGGUAGUCCACGCUGUAAACUAUGAUUACUCGUUGUGUGCGAUAUAUUGUACGUGACUGA